rnacentral:rRNA from 1 species
UUGGGUGGCGACCGGCGCACGGGUGAGUAACGCGUAUGCAACUUACCUAUCAGAGGGGGAUAGCCCGGCGAAAGUCGGAUUAAUACCCCAUGAAACAGGGGUCCCGCAUGGGAAUAUUUGUUAAAGAUUCAUCGCUGAUAGAUAGGCGUGCGUUCCAUUAGGCAGUUGGCGGGGUAACGGCCCACCAAACCGACGAUGGAUAGGGGUUCUGAGAGGAAGGUCCCCCACAUUGGUACUGAGACACGGACCAA